GAUGAACGCUGGCGGCGUGCCUAAUACAUGCAAGUCGAGCGAACAGACGAGGAGCUUGCUCCUCUGACGUUAGCGGCGGACGGGUGAGUAACACGUGGAUAACCUACCUGUAAGACUGGUAUAACUUCGGGAAACCGGAGCUAAUACCGGAUAAUAUAUUGAACCGCAUGGUUCAAUAGUGAAAGACGGUUUUGCUGUCACUUCUAGAUGGAUCCGCGCCGCAUUAGCUAGUUGGUAAGUUAACGGCUUACCAAGGCGACGAUGCCUAGCCGAACUGAGAGGGGGAUCGCCGACACGGGAACUGAGACACGGUCCAGACUCCUACGGGAGGCAGCAGUCGGGAAUCUGCCGCAAUGGGCGAAAGCCUGACGGAGCAACGCCGCGCGAGUUAUGAAGGUCUUCGGAUCGUAAAACUCUGUUACUAGGUAAGAACAAAUGUGUAAGUAACUAUGGACGUCUUGACGGUACCUAAUAAGAAAGCCACGGCUAACUACGUG
rnacentral:rRNA from 1 species